CUGAAAAAUUCUGUUUCGCAAAUCGUGACACAUUUUUCAUCGUGCUUUUCCCCAUUUCGUGCGGUUCGCGUUUCCGGACAUUCUACCUUGAAACCGGAUUUUGCAGUGGACGUGACCGAGAGAACAGAGUGCGGUGUGGAUCGACGUUUCGAAAACCGGACGUACUCGAUAUUUCAUACAACGUGAAGCGAACAAAAAGAAAUUCCACCACUCGACAGCACGUGAAAAGCUGAUCCCAUAUGUGAAAACCGAAGCUCACGAAAAACGACUACCGAAAAUAUCACGAUUUUUAUUGCACUCAUACACAUAUAUCCACUACGGAUGCGCUGCUUCACGACGAUCGCGACUUCUACUGGCAAUAAGACACAAAAUCGCAGACACAAGUGGCAAAGAAAACAUGAAUUUCUCGUCAAAAUCGACUAAAAAUAAAAAUAACUCGCAGCUGAAGUGAACGACAGAAGAUGAUGUGAAAUCGAAUUCUUUCGAGCUCAGUGCCUCCCGCAGACAAUCAGUGCACCGUAGCGUCGUGUGACGUGAUUCAGUUUCCCAGUAAAAAAAAUCCUGGAUAUCAACACGUCCCAUACGUAUAGGUACUUCAAUCGCUUGAACGACGUCUUCGCUUAUCGGCAACUCGGGCCGAUAUAAAUCAAUCUUCAAGAGCGAGGGUGCCCCUUCAUACAUUAUCAAAUCGCGGUUUCCCAAUCGAAGCUGCCCAAAAGGAGCCGGUGAUCUAACGAUGGACACAUUCGUCAUGUUACUUUUCGCGUUGAUCGUCGUAGUGAUAGCGCUAGUUUUCCUCUCGAAACUCCUGUACGAUAAGUACGUGAAGAAGGGUUCCGUCUCGGCCGAUGGGACCGCAGCAACAGCAGCAGCAGUAACGGGCACAACGACGGCCGCCGGGCUGUCGGCCUCCGUCGUCGGAAUCGGAGGAGGUGCCCUCCUGCCAGGUGGAGCCGCCUCCCGGGAAGGUUCCCGCCUGUCCGAACCGAAGGAGGUGCUCGCAUCGAAAAAGGAAGCUCUCCUUGCCCAGGCAAGGAAUGGCGCCCUGGGUGGUGGCGCCCGAGUUGGUGGCGGCUUUGGUGGUGCCGGCAUUGGCGGCGGCGGCCCAAAAGGCGGAAUCGGUGGUGGCGGCGGCGGCACUGCUAUUCUCCGGAAGCGUAUUUCCCGCAAGAGUCCUGGUCCCGAGCUGACGCAGAAGAAGCGCACCGUAUUGCCCCCGUCCAACAUCAACGGAUCGGAUAUGCAAUCAGUUCAAUGGGCCAUUCACUUGUUCCGUUGGCUCUACUCUGACCUGGUCGUUGUGAACAAGCUGCUGCAGGACUGGGUUGGGACCGUCAACACCGCUCUUUUGUCCUAUGUUGAACAGCACGAAAUGAUCGUAGAAGUGGUUCGGGUCCUGCCGGAGAGUCUGCCGCCGAACAUGUCCAGCAUCCUUUGCGAACCGGCCGAACAGCCGAACGAAGUGGAACUACUAUUCGACCUCGAGACCACCCCAGUCCUGCAGAUCAAGGCGUUCAGAUCGACCAAUCAGAAGACGGAAGUGUCGCACUACAAGGCGACCGUGUCCCGAUUGAAGACCCGCAUGAGUGUCAUCGUCAACUACUUUGCGCUCAAGGGUGAAAUGAAGGUGGAGGGUUUCCCGGAUAUCAAAAUCCACCUGAACAGUAUCGGCCCGUUGAAAACGGCCAACGCACAAGACGAAAAGAAGCAGAGCGACCUUAUCGUUGACCUGCUGACGUCCUCCAUUCGGGACGUUGUCUAUCCGAUCGAUUUCUCCAUCUACUCGACCUGUCCGCGACUGAUGGGCGAGGAACCGGAGGAGAUGGCUCCCCUCGAUUACUCAGGUUAUGGGCAAUACGACGCUUACCGUUCGUAUCAAGAUGAUGCGUUCAGCUCUAGUUUGUCGACUUCACCAAAGAAACUUCUAGUCAAAGUAGUCAAAGCCGAAGGGCUUCUGCAGUGCACUCAACCAUAUUGUGUCGUGGAAAUGGAUGAGCCAGCUCAGAAGCACCAGUCAGCCGGCAAAGCGGGACCAAGUCCACUCUGGGACGAAACCUUCCUUUUUGAUUUGUCGAACCAUUCUACUGAACUUCUGUUCGAAGUGUAUGACUCUGUAGCAGUAGCCGCCGGCGGAUUCCAGAAAUUCUUGGGUUUGGGACUGGUCGGCAUCGAUGAGCUCGCCAACGGUCCAGCCUCGACGCAAAUCCUGGAACUGCAGCCUAGGCCUUACGAGACGGAAACAAUUACUGGUACCCUAAUGGUUGAGUUUGUGUUCAUCGACGCUCCUCCAGCACCGGCUCCUCGACGGCAGUACAUGCAGCAAUCGUUCGCUAGGGAUGGAAUCGAUAGGAUGACCACCAGCACCCCCGCCCAAGCGGCUGCCACCCUGCCAGGAGCUGGAGGAAAGCAUACCGUCUCUUCGGCGCCCACUUCUCCGGCCAAAGCAGGCACCAACCUUACCACCAGCACCAGUUUCAGCGAACGGAACAAACGUUUCGAAAUGGCCAACACCAACCGAUUGAACAAAUCCUUCCUAAAGCCCCCCGCAGCAACCGACUACGGCUUGAAUGGCACUAAGCACCACUCCGAAUCGACCCCGGUUUCGCCGGCGCUGUCAUCCGCUUCGCAAUCCCUCAGCGCGGCCACCCUCAGCGGAAGCUCCCCGUACGACGUCAACCGAACCCAGGACAAGAAACCACGGAACAUCUUCGGAACCCUGCGCAACAAGCUGUCACUCUCGAAAAAGUCCAAAUCCCUGGAGAACUCCCAGUACAGUCCGACGCACGUAGGCCAGAUCCAUAGCGCCUCGUCGACGCUCAGCCGCGGUUCCUCGAUGGAUCAGCGAUCCAUCUUCAAGAGCCUCUCGCGGAAGUCUUCCAUUUCCGAGUCGUCGGCCGUGUCGGGAAUCUCGAAUGCCAGUGGGCGGACCUUCGUCCACGAGGAGUCCACGCUGCUGCUAGAAACGUUGGAGAACAACAUCCUGCGGCAUUACCUGGUGCCAAUCGAGGUCGCCCUGCGGCAGAAGGCUUGGAAGCGCAAGGGCGUCAAGCUGCACAUCUAUAACGAUCACACUUUCAUCGCUAAGCAUAUUAAGGGCGGAGUCCUAUGCCACGUGUGUAACCGCAGCAUCCUGCGCCGUCCCGGAAAACAGGGCUACGAAUGCCGCGACUGUCUCAUCCAGUGCCACAAACCAUGCCACGUGCGAACCCCUCAGGCCUGCCCGAAUCCGAAAAUUCUUUCGGUUCAGCUAGCGACAUUACCCGUGCUUAUCGAGUAGAGAUCCCCACUUGUUUUCAUUACAAAACCAAAACUUACAUUAGCCUUAGUCGAAGAAAUUAAAAAACAAAACAAGUCCCCAAGUUAAAAUGGCCAGCCCAGGGCGUUUGAAAUGGACAGUUUAUUCUAAACUCGAGCAUUUAAGAGCGGAGCACAAGUCAAACGAAUCAUCACUAGAGCUUUUGUUAAUUUUACUGUCAGACGUUUAGAAAAAAAAACUACUUUCACAAAACUCGCCUAAUGUUAUACACAAACACACAAUCGCAGCCUCGUUUUUAUGACGAGGCAAAGCUUUAGCCAUUUCUCUAGAAAUCUCUUGAAAUCGAAAAAAAAAUCGAACCAAAACUAUCGGAAUACCUUCCAGACAUGACAAUUCAGUGUAAAUAGCGUGAAUCAAAACUGUUUAACGAGAAUAAAAGCCUUAAAUCGGUGAUAGGACAUAAAAUCACGGAACACGUUCUAUUUAUUGUCAUCCAUUGAUGAACUAGGCGGUUCAGAUAAGGAACACACUCUAAUCAUUUAGAAGGUUGUGAGAAACGUUGUCGUAAGGAACCAAAUACUUAUUUAACAAACAAAAUAACGCCAAUCAAAGCAAGCCGAGUUGCCGAGGAAACGGUCCUAAGCAUUGCUAUGGGCGCAACAUUGCUAACAUUAUUCCGGCCGCUGCGUUCACUUACUACUACAUAUAUUUACUAAAAAAAAGUUACCUUUUACACCAUAAAACGUUUUUGCCGGAGUUGUUGAGAAAGUCAUAAUUGUUAAGGUGCAAGCAAAUAACGGACCCGUUGUUAAAGAUACAAAAAAUGUAUAAGUUGAAAGGAGACCAUACGCAUUACGGAGCAGCAUAGGGAUUAUUAUUCGUUAAGAAAAAUGGUAGCAUAUAGGUGAAACAAAUGAUUUCGAGAACGAAGUGCAAUUGGUAAAGUGAUUUAAUUGAA